GAGUUUGAUCCUGGCUCAGGACGAACGCUGGCGGCGUGCCUAACACAUGCAAGUCGAGCGAUGAAACCCUUCGGGGUGGAUUAGCGGCGGACGGGUGAGUAACACGUGGGUAACCUGCCUCAAAGAGGGGAAUAGCCUCCCGAAAGGGAGAUUAAUACCGCAUAAUAUGUUUUGGUCGCAUGACCUUGACAUCAAAGGAUGUUCUUCGGAACUUCCACUUUGAGAUGGACCCGCGGCGCAUUAGCUAGUUGGUGAGUAAGCCCACCAAGGCAACGAUGCGUAGCGACCUGAGA
rnacentral:rRNA from 1 species